rnacentral:ncRNA from 1 species
UGGUGGCCGAUGCCGCCUGAUGAAAGGGAAUCCAGUGAGAAUCUGGAACUGUACCUGCAGCUGUAAUCCCCCUUUGAAGGGUUUGCUUGUGUAACGCCACUGACCAUAGCGUCGGGAAGGUAAAGCAGACUGGGGAAAGUCAGAAGACCUGCCGAAGGAG